CAUAUUCUAGAGCCAAAAUCAUAAUUAAUAAAUAUAAAUUAUUACUUUCAAAUCCACCUUCAAAUUAAAUUUGCAUCUAAAAAUCCGUUAAUAAUUAACAUUAUUGUAACCCAUCUCUUCUUAUUUAUAAGCUGCACCUUGAUCUGAUUUAAUUUUUUAUAUAAAAUCAUGAACAUUUUUAAUUCUAAUGAAAUAUUCAACUACGACGAUAUACAAACUAAUUAAAAUAAGUACAAUUUAUCGUGGACUAUCGAUUACAGGACAGGUUCCUCUGAAUAGACUAAAAUACCGCCAAAAUCUUUAGCUUUCAAGAUCAUAACUAAUACUAACUUAACAAAAUAUUUUACAUUUUA
rnacentral:rRNA from 1 species